UACGUAGGAGGCGAGCGUUUUCCGGAUUUACUGGGAGUAAAGGGCGUGUAGGCGGGAGGAUAAGUUAGAUGGGAAAUUCCCAGGCUCAACCUGGGGGCUGCAUCUAAAACUAUUAUUCUUGAGUGCUGGAGAGGAAAGCGGAAUUCCUAGUGUAGCGGUGAAAUGCGUAGAUAUUAGGAGGAACACCAGUGGCGAAGGCGGCUUUCUGGACAGUAACUGACGCUGAGGCGCGAAAGCGUGGGGAGCAAACAGG
rnacentral:rRNA from 1 species